AGUUCAGUCGUUCAUCGCUGUUGCACAUCCCUGUCCUGCCGAUCCCUAUCGUCUCGUCUGUCACCCUGUGAAGGCGCAUAUUCGACGCGCCGUUUCGGUAUUGAAUCUCUUCGAGUGGCGUGCAUUCGCGUUUCGCGUAGUAGAGUGCGAAUGAGAAAGAAGUCGCCCGUUAUUUCCGAGUGUUCACCGUUCGGCGAUAAUCCACGUACGGUGUUUAUACAUACUUACAUACGUACAUACAUACAUACGGCACUGAAUGGGUCUGUAUUGCGCUGUACGUUUGUAACGUACUCCGGAACUCCGGACGGUCCUUUUGACGUACGCGACGACGUAUGGAUCGUCGCGUUAUGAUCCAAUGAGAGCGGCCGAGUAGUCGGCUGAUAAAUAGCCUCGUUAAAGUGGAAAUGGGCUGGGAACAGAAGCUCUGGCUCAUACGCAUUCGUGUCGCGAAGUGCUACGGAGAGUGCCGUUUUCUCGAAGCGGGUCAGUCUGUGCCAUACUGCUGCUUUGCCUGCACGCGAUUCUCGUUAUCGGAACAGACGAUGUAAGGAUCUGCGUGCGUUUGUUCUGAUGUCUUUCAAGUGCAUCUAAUCCGAUUGAAUUAACGCCGUGGAGCUCUAAAAGAUGCUGGGAGACGAUCCACCAUCCCUAUCGGUGGGUACAGAAGUUAGCGCUAAAUACAAGGGUGCCUUCUGCGAAGCAAAAAUCCGUAAGGUGGUACGAUCAGUGAAAUGUCGUGUAACUUAUAAACCACAAGGUUUGGGAACUGCUACGGUUGCCGAUGAUCAAAUAAGAGGGACUUUAAGAGUAGGCGCCUCCGUCGAAGUUAAACAUGUAGAUCGGAAAGAACUUGUAGAAGCUACGAUUACAAAAAUCCAAGACUGCAGUCAAUACACCGUGGUUUUCGACGAUGGAGAUAUUACAACGUUGAGAAGAACCGCGCUUUGUCUGAAAAGUGGACGGCACUUUGCAGAAAGUGAAACGUUGGAUCAACUUCCGUUGACUCAUCCAGAGCAUUUUGGGAACCCUGUAAUUGGAGGUAGAAGGGGUAGACGAUCAAGGCAAGCACAGGAUGAAAGCAGCGAAGAUGAGGACAGUCCACCACGAGGCGCUCGUGACUCGGCUUCCAGCGGAGGUGCGAAAGAAGGAAUGGAAACUGAACCAGAAAUUGGUAGAGUGGUUUGUGUAGAACUCGGUGAUAAAAAGAAGAAGGACAAUUGGUUUCCAGGAUUGGUGGUUGCACCUACUGCUCAAGAUACAGUAAGAAUACGAGUGAGAGAUGAUUAUUUAGUGCGCUCGUUUAAAGAUGCUAGAUAUUAUACAGUACCCAAGAAGGAAGCUACAGAAUUCACGAAAGAAUUAGUUAAUAAAAUUGAAAAUAGUACUCUGAAGGUCGCAGUAGAGAAAGCGCUUUUAUUUUUAGAGAAAAAUGAAUUGCCACCCCAUUGGGACAGGGAUUCCCUCUUUGGACAUUCUGUUUCUAGUGGGAAUAGCGAUUAUGAUGGAGAACUCGACUCAGAUAGUUCGGACGACGAACCGCGUGAAGAAAAAGAUCAUUUUGUGGCUCAAUUGUAUAAAUUUAUGGAUGAUCGCGGCACACCUAUAAAUGUUUGCCCGAUGAUUGGAACUGAGGAUAUAGACUUGUACCGGCUUUUCCGAGCAGUCUACAAAUUGGGUGGUUACAAUCGUGUUACGAAUCAGAAUCAAUGGAAAGCCGUAACACGACGACUUGGUUUUACGAUGCAAAAUUCGGCGUCAUUAUACAAUCUUGUGAAGCAGGCUUAUAAGAAGGUCUUACAUUCUUUUGAAGAUUUUUAUAGAAAAUUAGGCUGUACUAUGGUAAAUCAUCCGCGAGGUAGCAUGCGCAAACAACGCCCUGGAAGAAGUCUGAUCCGCGACAAAGACAGAAAUACUCCUAUACCACCGCCAGCACCAGCGCAAGUGAAAAGUGACAAAGAUGAAGAUGAAAAGAAAGUUGUGGAGGAUGAGAAGAAAGAGAAGAAGGAGAUUAAGAAGGAACAAAUGAAAGAAGAAGAAGUUGUCAAGAUAAAAAAGAAAGAAGAAUCUGAGGGAAACGGUAGCGGCCAGGAGAGCGAUGUAAAUGUGGAAGGAGAUAUCGAAUCGUCUAAUAAUGAAAAAUCACAAAAACCGACCACACAAAUUUCUACGUUAUCUCCUACUUCGUGCAGUACUACAACGGCAUCAUCCAGCCGGACCAAAUCAAAAAGUAAAGAAGAUAUCAAGAAGAAGGUGAUUGAAAAGAAGAAAACAGAGACCAAGAAGCAAGAAAAGAAGGAUGAGAAGAUCAAGGAAGAAGAAGCCACUAAGACAAGAUCCAAGGCAAAAGAUGAUACUGUGAGAAAUAAAGGUGCUUCCGAAGGGAGAGAAACUCGAACACCAUCUAGAGAGGCAGACAAGAAAACGAUGUCUAAGCAACGACGUUUAACGGAUGAAGAAUUAAAGAAACGAGGAAGGAAACGCAAGGAAUAUGAAACAGAAAAGUCGCGCGUGGACGAACAGCUUACAGAGACCGCCCCUAGCUAUAAAGGUCCCGUCGAGUGUGGUGACAAAUUGAAAGUAUAUUAUGGCCCAACACACGAAUCCAAAGUUACUUACGAAGCAAAAGUCAUCGAGAUAGAAAAGGAAGGUCCAGAACCAAUGUACCUUGUACAUUAUACAGGUUGGAACACCAGAUACGACGAGUGGAUUAAAGCGUCUAGAAUCGCACAAAACAUCACGCAAGCUCAAGGUAGAGUAAAGCGCGUCAAAGCAACUCUGAGGCCUCAAACUCCCAGCACGAAUUCGUCCAACAACGUCAAGUUGAAAGGUACUUGUAAUUCGAGCGUUAAUGCAUCGCAAAGCCGACGCCGGGCGCAAAGCGUCGCUCCUACUUCCAGCACCGUUCAGUCAGCUUUAACAUCUAUAAAGGAAGCCAAAAGGGAAGAAAAGGAGAAAGACAAGGAAACAAUACAACCAACUAGAUCCACUACACCGCUAUCUGUCGCUAGUUCUAGUUCCAGAACUAAGAGUCCUGCUACGCCCGCCAAUAGGCUGACCAGAACAACAAGAAAUGCAGAGUUAUCCGGAAUAGAGCAUCGUAGGCGCACCAGAAGAACCUCGGGACACACGGACAUAUCUGUUGCAUCAGAAAGCGAGGAUAGUGAGGGUUACGAGACUGAUACCACCGAACCUGAACAAACCAAAACCAGAUCGAGAGGUAUGGAAGAAAGAAAACGGAAGGAAGCGCGAAGUAGAGCAGAAGAGAAAAUUCGAACAGACGAUGUGAUAAGUGAUGGUGAUGACGAUAAAGACAACUUGGAUGAACCACGUAAAGGUAGGCGUUUAAGAAGAACCCCUGGCAAAUCUCAAGGUAUCAAAUCUGAACCUGAUAGCGAUCAAGAAGAACAACCGAAGGGCCGAGAUUUCGAUCUCAAUCAAAUACGAUCUGAAUUGAAAGGUUUCGACAAAGCUGUUAAGUUAGAGAUAGUCAGGAUGGAGCCUGAAGACGAAGUUAAGUUGGACGAGAAGGAAAACUUGGCCGCUAUCACGGCGUCGCCCAAGUUGGAGAAAACUAUCGAUUCUCCGAAGGUGGAAGUUGUCGAAAGGAAAGUGGAAAGCACAGAAGACAUAUAUGAAUUUAAAGAACCGGAACCGUUCGAGUUUGAGGUAAGAAAUAAGAGAGAUACUAACUGCGAUAAAGAUAAAUUGAAGAAGAGAAUGUUCGAAGACGAGGCGAAAAGUCCGAAGAAGAAACAAAAAACGCCGGUUACAGCGACAGUAGUGAAGGAAACGAAAUCGGAACCGCCAGAGAACGAUUCUCGGAAGAAACCGAGGAAAUUGUUUAGCAAGAGGUCUGACGAUGCUCAUGAAACGACGACUGCUCCUAGCAAACCACAGAUUGCAUCGUGCGAGGACGUUUUCAAUAAGCUGAGUGAGUCGUCUACGUCAUCGUUCAAUCAAUUGAAAUCAACUGUCGCGGAAGAAUCGAGUAAUAAGGUGACUGGUUUAAAUCUUUUGUUCAACGAUUUGCCGGCAGACGAUGAAGGCACGCGCGACGACUCUGAGGACCGUCUGGUAAUUUCGGAGACCGAGGUAUCGGAAACGGAACAAGAGAAUGUGUUUACAUAUCAACAAGACAUUCAGUUCCAAAGUAGCAAAUCGCCGGAUACAGCAGAAUCAAGCAAAAACGAGACAAACGCUAAAGUUGAAGCAAAAGAAGAAACACCGAUAAUCAAUACGAGCAGUAAUAAUACACCUCACAUUCCCGAUCAGAAACAGAACCAAAUCAAAUCUUUGUCAAGUCAAGUCGCUGCUGGGCAAUCGCAGCCAGAAUUGAAGAUGUUGGAUUCGAAGUUGCUUGAUAUCGUCUCAGUUCCAUCGCCGAUUGUGACACCGCCAGCUCCCAUAAGCGCACGACUGCCAGCGACAUCCACGAUAGAAGAAAAGUUAUCGGCCGCGAUGGCGUUCCGAAGCAAAAAUAAAGACAUCAAAAAGACUUCGGACGAGGAAACACCUUAUGUCGUGCGCGUAAUCAAGACACUGAAGGAAAAGAAAUUAGACACUCCUAAUUUUCUGCAAAAAGGCAAAGACGCGGAUUGCGUUAUUCCUGCGGCCGAAGUAGAUAAAAAACGCGAACACGAAAAGAACGAUGAGACUGUACGCAGAGAAAUCAUGCGCGCGAUAACUAAACGAAAAGAAGAAGAAAUAUCGAAGUUGAAGAAAGAAGUGGAAGAUCUAUCAAAGCCGAAGAAGUUCUCAGAAACGAAAAUAGUCGCUGAACGCAAGAUCAAAUUGCAGGAAGCUACAAAAGACGAAAGUUGGAGAAACGCCGGAUAUGAGAUGUCUGAUAAAAAGCCUGAAGAGGAAUAUAAAACAAUGGAUCAGAAAGAGAAAGACAAAAUUGAAAAUCGUAAGAAACAAAUCACUCAAGAUAUUAUAGAUUCCACGGAUAGCAGUGAUUCGGAACAAAGGCUCGUGAUAGACAACGAGGAGCCGCAAGACGUUAAAGUAUCGACAUCUAUCUUUGACGUGAAGCUACAAGCGGAAUUGGAUCGUAUAGAAAAUACGCAAGAGAGACACGCGAGGUCGCAGGUAUUGAAAACUUCACAGAGUAUCCAUCAACAGCAAGAGCAGGAAUCUACGGAGUUCAAAAUUGAUGCAGCACCCAUUCUGAAGACAGAUGAAGAGGGCGAAACAAUGAAUUCGCUGCUAUGCGAAGAAGAGAUACCUGGCUCGCCGGCCCCACUGUCCGAGAACAUCGAACAAGUCAAUGUUGGUCCUUCAUGCAGUCCACCAAAGAAUGAAGUAUUAGAAAAUAACAUAGUGCUGAUGGAGAUGCCUUUUGCGAGUGCACCGACCUCGAGUCAAAAUACAACGAGCAGUAGCACCGCUACCCUCAGUAUAGCAUUACCAAAGACUAUAGAAACGGCAAUGCCGGUUUCGUUAUCAAUGCAACAGAACACGUCCUCAAACAUGCGGCAGUCACAACAACAACAACAACAACAGCAGCAGCAGCAACAACAACAGCAGCAGCAGCAACAUCAUCAACAGCAACAGCACGUGUUGGCUCUGAUACCACCACAACGACGAGAGAGCAACGAAGCCGCACCGGUGAUGGACAAUACGCCGCCGACGACACCCGAUUCGAGCAUUUCCAACAUUUCGGGCUCGCCUAGAGACGAGAGAACCGGUGGUUCGUCGCCUACUUCCGAGGAUAACGUCAAGCUUAAUCGCGACAGCUCCGAGGCGGAUAACGACAGCGCGGGCAAGGGCCUAGGCUUGAGUGAGGACGACACCCUACCUAACUCUGAAAGUAACUCCGCCGACAAGAUUCUUAAGCCGCCUGCCAAACGUACAGUUGAGGAUAUGCAGUCACCCAAGAAACGCAAAAGAAACAGAAAAAAUUCGGAAUGCGGUCACGGCGGUGGCGGCAGCGUUGGUGUCGGCGCCGGUGUCGGUGAUGGCAUUGGCCUUGGCGUUGGCGUUGGCAUUGGGGUUGGCAUUGGCAUUGGCGUUGAUGCUAGCGUUGAUAUUGGUGUUGGCGUCGACGUCGAUGUCGGUAUCGGUGUCAGCGGUAACAACAGCAGCAACAGUAAUAGCAGUAACAACGGUAGUGGUGGCGGCAGAAAUGGUGGUAGCAGUGGCAGUGGCGGUGACGGCAGCGGUGGCAACGGCGGUGAUGGCGGUGGUAGUGCCAAUAACAGUGGCAAUGUUAGUGGUUUUGGCAAUAGCACUGGCAGUAACGGUAGCGGCGGCGGCACCGUUCCGAAAAAACCUGGCAGACAGAACGGUAGGCAUGGCAGAUACGGAGCUGGGAGCGACAGCGACGACACUAGUGAGGGAUCCAAUCUUUGCGGAGUCAACAACACACCGACAAAUCGUGCUAGCACCAUCACCAACGUUCCCGAUCUCAGUACCUACUCGUCAAGAUCACCGAGACCAACAAAGUACAAUUUUUACGUUGAAUUGGAUCCUGAAUUGGAUGGUAGUCAAAGAAUAGCUGUACUACAGCAGAAAUUAACUGAAUUACGAAAGACGUAUAACGCUGUAAAGGUUGAGCUUGCUGCUAUAGAAAGACGUCGAAAGAAACUAAGAAGACGAGAACGAGAAGGUACAAUAAUUGAUUUGAAGAGUUCUGAGUCGACAUAGGCGGUUGAGAUGAUGGCGCGUCAUUUCAGUGCUUUAUGAUGCCGAUGAAAAUUUUAGUCGAUUCUGCAGUACAACUCCCGUGUUGGAAUUUUGAGUCAGAACUGACUGCGAUGAAAGCAGCUAAAGCAGAAAUGCAGCAAGCUUGUUCGUGAUAGACAGCACUGAAUGAUAGUUAUUCUUUUUUCGAGUACUAAAUGGGACUAUUGUACAAGCACGGUAUUAUUGGCACGGGCAUCAUGCAAUCACGCCAGGCGCCUCAUGACAAAUUUUAUCUAUGUAAUAUCACUUAAGUAACAUUUAACCGUCAAUCUUUUUUUAUUUAAAUAAACUGUAGAUAUAGUCAUAAGGUUUAUUCACAUAUAAUAUAGUUGUGUUAUUGUACAUUAUAUAUUUCAUUAAUCUCGUAAGCUAAAUGUUAAAAAUCUUUACCUUUAUUUUGUCAUUUUGCAUGUUCGGAUGCAAAGUACAAAUUAUCAAAACUGAUGAUCUUCAUUUUACUUCUCUUUAUCAUUUCUUUUUUUUUUAUAAAAAAGGCUGCGCGUUAUCGAUGUGUUACUGUAAAGACAUUUUAGGGAACAAUUUAUCUAAGCUGGUUGUCACUUCCAUUUUUUGAGUAUGAUUGUAUCGGUUGUAGUUGAGCUGUUUUCACAAAAUGUUAAAGAAAAGAUAAGAAGCAAAGGAAGGAUUAUACAGUGAUCAUAUAGUUACAUUAAACGUUACGUCUUUUAUAUUAUAGCAAAAGGUGUAAAUAUUAGAGAAUUGCAAAAUUUAAAGCAUUAGUACAUUGUAUUGCGGAUGUGAAAACACACACACACACACACAAACACACACACACACGUGUCUUUGUAUCUUUGUAUGACAAAAUUUUGUAAUUAGUACGCGUAUGAAAUAAAACGAUUGCUAAUUAUUAGACACAAAAAAAGUAUUUUGUCUUUAUUUUAAUUUAUGUAUAUAACCUUGUAAAAACGAUAUUAUAAAAAAACGAAUAGAAUUGCGUGUUUGAUAUUGGCUGCCGGCUGCCGUUUAUUUGGUGGACUACGCUUCGAAACAUCGAUUUUUUAUUCUUUUGAUCGAUUUAACGCUUCGAAAUAUGCAUAGCCCUAAGCCAUCGACAUAUGUAAGUGAAUAUAUGUUAAUAUAUAUUCAUUUAUAUAUGUUAAAAAAAAAUAUAUAUAUAUAUAUAUUUAUAUAUAUAUAAAGAUGUAAAUAAUAUCGUUUUUCUCUGUUAAAAGAUACAAGAUGUAAGACAUAUUUCCUUCUUCCUUUUUUUCUUUCAUGAUCUACAAUUUAAUGUAGUAAUUUAUCGUGAACGCAGCUCAACGAUAUUAUUAGGUUACUCAAUCAUAUUACAUUUAGCUCCCGUUGUUUUAUCAUCAUCAUUGAAUAGUUGUAUACUCAUUACUACUGUAUGCCACGUAUUGGAGACUUGUCAGAGAUGCAUUUAUAUUUGUAUUUCAACAUACAUGAAGAAUGCUUCAAGUAUGAAGAAAUUAUAGAUAAAUGCAAAAAAGAUGGGACUUUAGUAAGAAACACAUCGCGAAAAUGUUAAUCAGAUGUCACUAGAUGAAGAUAAAUCUGUAAAAAAUAUAAAUCUAGUUUGAAAAGAGAAUGAGGAUUUAUAGAUACAUAUAGCUCUAAGCAAGCAGCUCUAAGCAAGCCUGCAAAGCUGCUUAGGAACGGCUUGUCCCAAAUUUUAGCCAAAUUAAUUAACGAAUCUCAUUUCACUUAUGCUCGUUUUAAUCAGUAAGAUCAGCCGCAAGCUGGUACAGAGCCGGAUUUUCCAUUUUGGUUUUUAAAAAAUUUAUAAUAAAUAAAAUACGGACUCGCAGCUAAGCAACCCGACAGAGGUCGGUAGUGUUACUCCUGUCGACCCUUAAGACAUACGCGCGCAUAUUACAUGCGUGCGCGUAUAUGUAUGUUUAAAAUUUCAUUCUUAGGUACAUAUAAAUAUAUAUUUUUUAUAAAAGGUCAAUAUGAGCUCUAUGGAACGUGAGAACAUUUAACCCCGAGGAAAACAAAAGGCGUUAAGUUUUCUUGACAUUGUUUUUGUAUAUAGUGUAUUACAUUGUGUGUGUAUGAAUAUAUAAGUCAAAUUUUAAUAGUUGAUUGCACACUCUGACGUAACCGCGCAUUUUAACGUAUAAUGGUUUCAGAAACGUCGCAGAAUAACAUAUGAUUGUCUUGAAAAGACUAGAGGAUGCAUUUUGACGUUGAGAGAAACAUCUUAUUUUCAAUAAUUUGUAUUAGGUAUAUGGGAAUGUAAAUGCACAUUAAUACAUGUAUAUGUUAAAUCAAAUAAUUCAAAAUUGUGCAAUGUUUAUUAUGAUAAAUCACACUUAAAUGUUAUAGAUACACUAUUUUAUACAUUUAAUAUUAUUAAUCCAAAUUUAUUCUAAUAUUUUUAAAGUACAUCAACAUAAUAACACCAACAUAAUAAUUACGUGUAAUUGGAGCUUUAGAAACAUUACUAAUAUUUUAAAAAUAAUUAGUUAUUUAGUUUAUAUAUUUUUAUUUAGAAAUAUAUUUUAAUUUAAAUAUAUUAUUGUUCAGACGUAUAAUGCAACCAUUCAACUAUGAUACUGUUUACUGUAUAAUCUAUUUUAUAAGAAAUUCUAGUUUAAUUUGUGAAAAAAGAUUAAUUUGUAACUAAGGUCGAAAAAAUUAUAAAUUGGCGAUCCUUAUAAAUUAUAAGGAGAAAAUAUGAUUGCCAUAAUAUGAGAUGAUAAUUAAUAUAACCUAUUACAUUAUUAGUUCGAUAAUUUAAAUUUAUAAGAAUAUAUCAAGUAUCAACAGUCUUGUUUGACAGUUCAAAUUAUCACUUAAAGCGAUGAACGCAGCAUAUGACUGUAAUUUCGAACAUGUUUUACACAACUUUCAAUUUUUAGUAUAUUUUACUAUACGUUACAGGGUAUUACCUAAGCAAGUACACAAACUUGAAGGGGAUAUUCCUUGGUGUAUUUUAAGAAGAAAAGGAUCUAUAAACUUGUGUCCUAAACUGCUUCGUUCAAAAUACAGGAUGUCAAAGAUGCACGCUCCUGAUGGAUCUAAAAAUGUUUUAUCGGUACUAGAAAAUGGUUCUUAAUACCACAUCCACGCAUACCAAAUUUGAAUAAAAUAUUUUUAAACGUUUUCCAGAUUUUCGAAAUUUUCAUUUUUUUUUUCACAACUUUGACAUCCUGUAUUUUGAAAACGAAGCAGUUUAGGACAUAUGUUUAUAGGACUUUUUCCUCUUAAAAUAAGCCAAGAAAUAUCACCUUCAAGUGUACUUACUUAAGUAACACCCUGCAUAUUCAUUAUGAUAAACGUUAAAGGUGUGAUAAAUGUAUCCUCGUCUUUCAAAAACAAUUAUUCUUCCUGUAAAUCAUAUGACAUUACAUGUGAAAUAGUACAUAAUGAUAAGCAUAAGGCAAAUUUGCGUCGCCAAGCAGAUAACAUUGUUUCACAUAACAUUAACUAUGUCAAUAAAUAAGAAAUAAACUUAUCUUAACAAAAAACAA